rnacentral:sRNA from 1 species
GGCUACUCUCGGCUUCCUGGCAACGCCGAGCGAAAGCUAUGACUGCCGCCGCGGGUUCGGCGGGCCGCGCCGCGGUGCCCUUGCUGCUGUGUGCGCUGCUGGCGCCCGGCGGCGCGUACGUGCUCGACGACUCCGACGGGCUGGGCCGGGAGUUCGACGGCAUCGGCGCGGUCAGCGGCGGCGGGGCAACCUCCCGACUUCUAGUAAAUUACCCAGAGCCCUAUCGUUCUCAGAUAUUGGAUUAUCUCUUUAAGCCGAAUUUUGGUGCCUCUUUGCAUAUUUUAAAAGUGGAAAUAGGUGGUGAUGGGCAGACAACAGACGGCACUGAGCCCUCCCACAUGCACUAUGCACUAGAUGAGAAUUAUUUCCGAGGAUAUGAGUGGUGGUUGAUGAAAGAAGCUAAGAAGAGGAAUCCCAAUAUUACACUCAUUGGGUUGCCAUGGUCAUUCCCUGGAUGGCUGGGAAAAGGUUUCGACUGGCCUUAUGUCAAUCUUCAGCUGACUGCCUAUUAUGUCGUGACCUGGAUUGUGGGCGCCAAGCGUUACCAUGAUUUGGACAUUGAUUAUAUUGGAAUUUGGAAUGAGAGGUCAUAUAAUGCCAAUUAUAUUAAGAUAUUAAGAAAAAUGCUGAAUUAUCAAGGUCUCCAGCGAGUGAAAAUCAUAGCAAGUGAUAAUCUCUGGGAGUCCAUCUCUGCAUCCAUGCUCCUUGAUGCCGAACUGUUCAAGGUGGUUGAUGUUAUAGGGGCUCAUUAUCCUGGAACCCAUUCAGCAAAAGAUGCAAAGUUGACUGGGAAGAAGCUUUGGUCUUCUGAAGACUUUAGCACUUUAAAUAGUGACAUGGGUGCAGGCUGCUGGGGUCGCAUUUUAAAUCAGAAUUAUAUCAAUGGCUAUAUGACUUCCACAAUCGCAUGGAAUUUAGUGGCUAGUUACUAUGAACAGUUGCCUUAUGGGAGAUGCGGGUUGAUGACGGCCCAGGAGCCAUGGAGUGGGCACUACGUGGUAGAAUCUCCUGUCUGGGUAUCAGCUCAUACCACUCAGUUUACUCAACCUGGCUGGUAUUAUCUGAAGACAGUUGGCCAUUUAGAGAAAGGAGGAAGCUACGUAGCUCUGACUGAUGGCUUAGGGAACCUCACCAUCAUCAUUGAAACCAUGGUAAACUUUUGUUGUUGCUAUUGGAUUAACUCACUUCUUUACUAUUGGAAAAAUAACAUAUAAAACUGAAUACUUUUGUUUUACAUGUAAAUACAUAAGCAUACAGACAGAU